AUUGAACGCUGGCGGCAUGCUUUACACAUGCAAGUCGAACGGUAACAGGCCGCAAGGUGCUGACGAGUGGCGAACGGGUGAGUAAUGCAUCGGAACGUGCCCAGUCGUGGGGGAUAACGCAGCGAAAGCUGCGCUAAUACCGCAUACGAUCUAUGGAUGAAAGCGGGGGACCGAAAGGCCUCGCGCGAUUGGAGCGGCCGAUGUCAGAUUAGGUAGUUGGUGGGGUAAAGGCUCACCAAGCCAACGAUCUGUAGCUGGUCUGAGAGGACGACCAGCCACACUGGGACUGAGACACGGCCCAGACUCCUACGGGAGGCAGCAGUGGGGAAUUUUGGACAAUGGGCGCAAGCCUGAUCCAGCAAUGCCGCGUGCAGGAAGAAGGCCUUCGGGUUGUAAACUGCUUUUGUACGGAACGAAACGGUCCUGGUUAAUACCUGGGGCUAAUGACGGUACCGUAAGGAUAAGCACCGGCUAACUACGUGCCAGCCGCCGCAGUAAUAC
rnacentral:rRNA from 1 species